rnacentral:rRNA from 1 species
GCCGAACGCUGGCGGCGUGCCUAAUACAUGCAAGUUGAGCGCUGAAGGUUGGUACUUGUACCAACUGGAUGAGCAGCGGACGGGUGAGUAACGCGUGGGGAAUCUGCCUUUGAGCGGGGGACAACAUUUGGAAACGAAUGCUAAUACCGCCUAAAAACUUUAAAAACAAGGUUUAAGAUUGAAAGAUGCAAUUGCAUCACUCAAAAAUGAUCCCGCGUUGUAUUAGCUAGUUGGUGAGGUAAAGGCUCACCAAGGCGAUGAUACAUAGCCGACCUGAGAGGGUGAUCGGCCACAUUGGGACUGAGACACGGCCCAAACUCCUACGGGAGGCAGCAGUAGGGAAUCUUCGGCAAUGGACGAAAGUCUGACCGAGCAACGCCGCGUGAGUGAAGAAGGUUUUCGGAUCGUAAAACUCUGUUGGUAGAGAAGAACGUUGGUGAGAGUGGAAAGCUCAUCAAGUGACGGUAACUACCCAGAAAGGGACGGCUAACUACGUG